GAAUAUGGAUCUUCAUGAGCUCAACACAAGGAAAACACUUUUCAUUUAAUGGUAGCUAUGGACACGGCCCUUGUCUCUCUGAAGACAGCUCUGCCUAGCCUGUUUUGAGCCUGAUGUUUUUCUACGUAGCUAGCCUAUGAAGGCUGAGAUGGAGAGGGGACUGGGAAUACAAUCACCUCUGAUGGCUGAGCCAGUCUCCCCCAGACUGUUGAGAACUAUUAGAAAGAUGACUCCCACCAAGCCAGCAAAUCUUGCAUCUCUGACAACCGGGCUAUGCUCAAACUGAGAAAUAGCAUCGGGAGUUCACGCAUCCACGGUAGCCUUUGUCCUGGUACCAUUUAAAUCUCUGGGCAUGAGAGGUUCUUUCCAAUGCCAGCAGGUCAGACUGCCCUCAUGAACAAUGAUGGUUAAGUCUUGGAACGCUCUUCCCUCUUCUAACUCCCCAGUUAUACAUUUCCCUCCCUGUGUCCAGUCACUGAAGCUGAAACGGUCUCCUUUUGUGGGACACAGCGCCUUCUUCUAAAAUGAGCCACAAUCAUUGGCUCUCCCCGCUUCCUCCCUGCUCAGAUGGAAAAGCCUUUAAACUGAGUCCCCGGUGGUUUUCCUUUCUCCUGGAAACUUUCAUCAUCGAAUUGGGAAAGGAUUCAGAAGCAAGAGACAGUGGAAAGCAGCUUUAUGCAAAGAGGGAGAAGUAAGCAGAGGAGGUGAGGAGGGUAACUCCAAGAGGCCUGGGAACUGCGUGGUAUCGUCUCCAGUGUGGGUCUCAUUCCCCCGGUGACCUUUGGCACGUUAAAUGAAGGAAAACUGGCAGGCUCAGCAUUUUUGUCUACCCUGUCAGGACUUUCCAACCUCGACAUAUUUCCUUUAUCAGCCUUUGAGGCUGUCAGAAAGCCCCUAGAAUAUUUAGACUUUUAAAUGCUAUGUCCAAAUUAAUGAGUUCAGGCGAUGAGAAUUCCUGUUGGCAUGCAUAUGCAUCCCUAUAAGGAGAAAGGUACCAGGCAGUGUCUUCCCAGAAACAGCCAUGAGAUGCAGUUAGAUUGCAUCUACCCAUUUACAGAGUUCCAAGAGGAAGGGAUGAAGGGAAGGUCAACUCUGAGGGAUGUUUGAGGUUCCUUUAUUUACACUCACGUUAUGACUUGCCGUUUAAGAACAAUGGAGGAGAAUAUGAGUCAUAUUUAGUAGGAGAAAAACAGGAGAAUACAUUGAGGAGCUGAUUUCUACAAAUUCUUGGUGAACCAUGUUUUAUUGGUGGGGAGAUAUGUGAAUAGAUACCUUAAAUAAUUCAGCAUCUUUAAGCAUGAAAAUGGAGAAUUAAAAACGCCAACAUCUUUUUGCUAAAUUGGUUCUGCUUUUAUUCAAAAUUUUAAAAAGUCAGAAAGGGCCAUCUUUACCUUUUGGCCUGGUGAAUUGUGUGUAAACUGACCUGCAGAGACAGGGAGGGCAACUGCUCUGUGGUACCGGCUUACAAACUGAGAGAUCAACGUCAGCUUCUCCGUGUGUGAGGACAGAGUUUUAUAGUUUAUAAAUGUUAAGUUCACCUCUGUGGAGCAAACAUAACCUUCAGCUAUUAUUUAUAAAACUGUUAAUGGGAUAAAGCAAUCUGACAGUGCCUGUGGUUGUCUGCUGGUCUAACGACCUUAAGACCUCAGGGUUUUCACUGUUUUACUAGGUACGGUGAAUCUGCAAAGAAGGGAGAGAAGGCACGUGAAAAAUCCGAUUUCUCCUGUGGUUCUCUGGUUUGGUGGGAAAGAAGAUUCAAGAGCUCAGCUAAGGUCCAGCUUGGGAUGAGGUCAUUUUGACGGCUUUCCUUCGCCUUGAUGCUAACCUGGUGGCGGGUUGACUGACAGUAUUGGUCUACGGACAGAGUUCUUGCUGCAUUGUUAAGUGUGGUGUGAGGAAACACUGAACAGGUAGAGAAAGAGAAGAAAUAUCUUUUCACAAAAAGACUGGUCCAGUCGCCAAAUAAUAUUAAUCCACAAGCUAAGAACAGUUUUCCUACCCAAACCAAUGAGAGAGAUAAUAAUUGCAUUUUAGCUUAUUUGUGUCUGUCUGUCUGUCUGUCUGUCUGUCUGUGUAUAUAGAGGACAGAAGUCAGCUUCAUGUAUUGUUCCUCAGACACCAUCCACCAUCUUUUUAAAGACAAUGUCUCUCACUGGGACCUGGAAUUUGACAAAUAGUCCAGGCUGUCUUGGCAUCCAGCCCCAGAGAUUCACUGUGUCAAUUCCUCCCCACUGCUGGGUUUGCAGACACAGGACUUCUCAUCAUAUUUUCACAUGUGUUUGCUGGAGAUCAACCUUAGGUCCUCCAAUACUUUAUAAACUAAGCUAUCUCUGUAUCCAAAGUUACUGAUCACGUCCAUCAUCAUUAUCAUCAUCAUCACCAACAACAACAACAACAUCACCACCACCACCAUCACCACCAUCACUAUCAUCACCAUCAUCGUCUAAGAAUGGAGUCUCAUUGUUGGCUUGGUGUUAGAAGGGAACCCUGACUCCCAGCUGAAAGAUGUCUGCCAAUUGAAUCUCAUCUCACCAGACAACAAAAGCAACAUGUAAGUCAAGAUCAGUUAGAGGUUGUCUUUGUCAGGGUUUCUAUUCCUGCAUAAACAUCAUGACCAAGAAGCAAGUUGGGGAGGAAAGGGUUUAUUCGGCUUACACUUCCAUACUGCUGUUCAUCACUGAAGGAAGUCAAGACUGGAACUCAAGCAGGUCAGGAAGCAGGAGCUGAUACAGAAGCCAUCGAGGGAUGUUCUUUACUAGCUUGCCUCCCCUGACUUGCUCAACCUGAUCUCUUAUAGAACCAAGACUACCAGCCCAGAGAUGGCACCACCCACAAGGGGCCUUUCCCCCUUGAUCACUAACUGAGAAAAUGCCUUACAGUUGGANNNNNNNNNNNNNNNNNNUCAUGGAGGCAUUUCCUCAACUGAAGCUCCUUUCUCUGUGAUAACUCCAGCUGUGUCAAGUUAACACAAAACUAGCCAGUACAGAGGUUUUAUUUCUUUCUAC
ensembl:lincRNA Gm28818 predicted gene 28818